rnacentral:rRNA from 1 species
CCAGACUCCUACGGGAGGCAGCAGUGGGGAAUAUUGCACAAUGGGGGAAACCCUGAUGCAGCGACGCCGCGUGGGUGAAGGAGUGCUUCGGCAUGUAAAGCCCUAUCGGCAGGGAAGAAGCAAGACGGUACCUGACUAAGAAGCUCCGGCUAACUACGUGCCAGCAGCCGCGGUAAUACGUAGGGAGCAAGCGUUAUCCGGAUUUACUGGGUGUAAAGGGCGCGUAGGCGGGAUGGCAAGUCAGAUGUGAAAUCCAGGGGCUCAACCCCUGAACUGCAUUUGAAACUGUCGUUCUUGAGUACUGGAGAGGUUGACGGAAUUCCUAGUGUAGCGGUGAAAUGCGUAGAUAUUAGGAGGAACACCAGUGGCGAAGGCGGUCAACUGGACAGCAACUGACGCUGAGUCGCGAAAGCGUGGGGAGCAAACAGGAUUAGAUACCCCGGUAGAA